GGCCUUGCAUUUCAGCUCAGUGGGCGGGAGGACAUAAAUUUCAGCUGUUUUCAGCCCUGCGGCUGCAUUUUUACGGAAGACUUCCAAGCGCACCAUGAAGCUGGCAGGCUUCCUCCUCCUUGUGGUCGCCAUGACCCUCAGCCUGGAGGUGCAGGAGCUCCGGGCUGCAGUGUUACCAGUGGAUCUCUUGGGCGCCUGCGUUGAACUCUGCAGAGGCGACUGGGACUGCGACAUGGGCGAGCGCUGCGUCAGCAAUGGGUGUGGCCACAUCUGUGCCACAAAGUGAGCACAGAUGAAGACUUUUCUUAAGGGUCAUCCUUUUCAAUUAAUUUCUCACCCCUUCCUGGAGCUCCUACCUUCAAAGAUGUGGCUGUUUGGAGCUCCUUGCCCAAGAAAACAGAUGAACAUGGAAAUCUGUGGGUGGAAAUUACAAGGGAUGUGGUGGGGAAGGGAAAAAAAUCUGUUUCUUUUAAUAAA